UGUAUAAAGUGGCGAACGGCUGAGUAACACGUGGGCAACCUGCCCCUCUCAUUGGGAUAGCCACGGGAAACCGUGGAUAAUACCGAAUACUUCGAGUCUCCCGCAUGGAAGACUCGAGAAAGCUCCGGCGGAGAGGGAUGGGCCCGCGGCCUGUUAGCUUGUUGGUGAGGUAACGGCCUACCAAGGCAAUGAUGGGUAGCUGGGUUGAGAGACCGACCAGCCAGAUUGGGACUGAGACACGGCCCAGACUCCUACGGGAGGCAGCAGUGGGGAAUCUUGCACAAUGGGCGAAAGCCUGAUGCAGCGACGCCGCGUGCGGGAUGAAGGCCUUCGGGUUGUAAACCGCUUUCAGCAGGGACGAGGCGAAAGUGACGGUACCUGCAGAAGAAGCCCCGGCUAACUACGUGCCAGCCGCCGCGGUAA
rnacentral:rRNA from 1 species